rnacentral:rRNA from 1 species
GCUUAACACAUGCAAGUCGUACGAGAAAUCCUUAGCUUGCUAGGGAGAGUAAAGUGGCGCACGGGUGAGUAUCGCGUGGGUAAUCUACCCUUGAAUUCAGGAUAACAUUUCGAAAGGGGUGCUAAUACUGGAUAACAUCCUGAUGGUUUCGGCCAUAAGGAUCAAAGAUAGCCUCUACAUGUAAGCUAUUGUUUAGGGAUGAGCCCGCGUACCAUUAGCUAGUUGGUGGGGUAAGAGCCUACCAAGGCAACGAUGGUUAGCUGGUCUGAGAGGAUGAUCAGCCACACUGGAACUGAAACACGGUCCAGACUCCUACGGGAGGCAGCAGUGAGGAAUUUUGCGCAAUGGGGGAAACCCUGACGCAGCAACGCCGCGUGAGUGAAGAAGGCUUUCGGGUCGUAAAGCUCUGUCAAGAGGGAAGAAAGUGGGAGAUGGUAAUACUGUUUUCUAUUGACGGUACCUCUGAAGGAAGCACCGGCUAACUCCGUGCCAGCAGCCGCGGUAAUACGGGGGGUGCAAGCGUUAUUCGGAUUUAUUGGGCGUAAAGAGCGCGUAGGCGGUUUAUCAAGUCAGAUGUGAAAGCCCUGGGCUCA